rnacentral:rRNA from 1 species
AUUGAACGCUGGCGGCAUGCCUUACACAUGCAAGUCGAACGGCAGCACGGGAGCAAUCCUGGUGGCGAGUGGCGUACGGGUGAGUAAUAUAUCGGAACGUGCCCAGUCGUGGGGAUAACGUAGCGAAAGCUACGCUAAUACCGCAUACGAUCUAUGGAUGAAAGCGGGGGAUCGCAAGACCUCGCGCGAUUGGAGCGGCCGAUAUCAGAUUAGGUAGUUGGUGAGGUAAAGGCUCACCAAGCCGACGAUCUGUAGCUGGUCUGAGAGGACGACCAGCCACACUGGGACUGAGACACGGCCCAGACUCCUACGGAGGCAGCAGUGGGGAAUUUUUGGGACAAUGGGACGCAAGCCUGAUCCAGCAAUGCCGCGUGCAGGAUGAAGGCC